CUGGUGCGCUGGUAGCGCGUGUGGGGGGGUGCUAAGACACGCGGCCGUUGCGACCGUUGCGUGGCAGGCGCGUCAGUGCGCGUGCUACGCGGGAGUCGUAGAGCAACGGGCAGCUAGCUGGACGAGCCCCUUGCUCUGGUGGCUUGCCCUGUACGCAGGAAGAGGAGGGAAGCAGUACACGUGAUCUUCUGCUGUGUGGAGAGAUGGUUGGCUUUGGAGGAGUGAAGGAAUCAAGAUGCUUACAACAUGCUGUAGCUGCUGCUGCUGCUGCCAGAAUGAAACCACCAACCUUACAGCUGAGAGGAGCAGUGGAAGGGUCAACCCCAGGAAGAGGGAUAGAAACUGAAAAGUGUGCCUUAAGGCUAAAUCAAAAGAUUCAAUGUACAAUUUGAGAUGGAAAUUUCUCUGAAGACCUGUAUUUAAUGCCCUCUUUCUCUUGUACCAAGUGGUCCUAAAUGAGUUGAGGCUCUCAUUUUUCUAGAUGUUGCCCAGGUACAUAGCAAGAGAUGGUUUCAUCGCUCAGAAGCUAACGUGUCAUCAC
rnacentral:lncRNA from 1 species